rnacentral:rRNA from 1 species
GGGGGGGGCAAGCGUUGUUCGGAAUUACUGGGCGUAAAGGGCGCGUAGGCUGUCCCGCAAGUCCUCCGUGAAAUCCCACAGCUCAACUGUGGAAUUGCGAGGGAAACUGCAGGACUUGAGUUCGGGAGAGGAGAGUGGAAUUCCCAGUGUAGCGGUGAAAUGCGUAGAUAUUGGGAGGAACACCGGUGGCGAAGGCGGCUCUCUGGACCGACACUGACGCUGAGGCGCGAAAGCUAGGGGAGCAAACGGGAUUAGAUACCCCGGUAGUCCUAGCCCUAAACGAUGAGCACUUGGUGUGGCGGGUAUCGACCCCUGCCGUGCCGAAGCUAACGCAUUAAGUGCUCCGCCUGGGGAGUACGGUCGCAAAGGCUG